rnacentral:lncRNA from 1 species
AACCGAAUAUUCUAAAAAUCCAACAAGAUCAAGUAUCAGCUCGAACCUGCAACUCCCAAGCAGAGUCGCAAAAGCUGUCAAACCCAUUUUCUCACCUUACCAACCCCUUUUGACAAAAAUAUUGUAAUUUGAAGGAUUUUUCAGAGUCGCCACCUAACAUUUGAUUUUGGUGUGUCAGGUUACCGUUUUUUAAAAUAAAAAUUUUACUUCAUAAAACACAGUUAGACUCCAAAACUGACUACACCAGAGAUCCUCGAUAAGAGGGUUUAUUUGAAUCGGGGAGGAGGUGUUAGGCAUUUCCCGGGUACCGUAACUAGUACAGUUGCAUACAUAAUCUAGUUGUCUUUUAAUAAUUCUCAAAGUGAGGCAAAACACACAAAAAGAAAAUAAGCACAAAAAAGGUUCGAGGUCUUCCCUAUCUAAAUAAACGAAAACAAAAUAAGAAAUAAAGUAAAAAUAAUAAAGUUAUACUCUACGCUUCUUCCGAUCAUCUCGCCUUUGGCCUACGCCUACAAGUAUUUCGGGGCAUUUUUCGAAUAAUUUUUUUUACAAAUUCCUCGGGAUAUUUCCUGAAUAAUUAACUAAGGGACAGCCAGUAACCUCAAAAUAAACGAAAAAUCCUAAAGCUUGCCUACCCAAAUGUUGUCGGGCUAAGUAUGAUACUAACGAUUUAAAUAAAUAAAUAAAGUAAAUUCAGCAAGAUCACUUAAGCUCAAUUUCCUUCACAUUUUUUAAAGCCAACUCCACAUAUCGAUUUAAUGAAUAAUAGCUAUUUGAUUUCUAAUUAACGAGUUAUCUGCAAACAACAGAUGAUUUAUCCAAAUUAAACGAUUAAAAUAAAUACUAAUAUAAAAUAUAACUCAUAUAUUAAUCAAACAUCAAGGAAAUUCAGAUUACAAAAAUAUCAAAAAUCACAUAACCUUUCACAUAACAUUUAAGAACUUAAAUGAUUAGGGAAAGAAAUGGACCUUUUAAAGUGCUUCCACCCAAGAGUUAUUAAAAUAGAUUCUGUCCUGGAAUUUAGCGAAGACCUAAGACCUCGACGAACCUCUACCGAAUAUGACAAGCGAACAAGGAAUCUAGACGGACCAAAAACCAUGCUAGAAACUUUGCUCGACUUGAGAGGCAUGUUUACCGAUCGACGGCGGCGACGAGCUUGACAGAUUUAUCUGGACUCGUGAAUUCGUUUUUAGUAAGAGGCGAAGAAAAGGUAAUUAUUAAUCAGUACAAUAAAAAAUUAUAAGAGAUUAAUGGAAAUGUUUGUAACUGUUUUGACGAGUUGGAAAUUAAGGAAAAUUUAAGGAAUUUAAUAGGUAUUGAAGAAAAUUCAAGUGAUGAUUUGAAGAGAAGUAUUAGUGUUGCCGUGAAAUAUGUAUUGCUUGAAGAAAAUUACUGGGCUUCGCCGAAGUUUAAACGGCGAUUGCUCUUUUUUUGUUUUGUGAUUCGGCUGUUGCUCCACUUUUUAAGGGUCACGGUCGUUGCUAGGGUGUGGGAAUUGAAGGGUUUCUAAUAGUGGGGAUAGGGUUUGUUAUAAUUGGG